rnacentral:rRNA from 1 species
AUAUCAUUAAGCGGAGGAAAAGAAAAUAACAAUGAUUCCCCUAGUAACGGCGAGUGAAGCGGGAAGAGCUCAAAAUGAAAAUCGGGGGCGCAGCUUCUGAAUUGUAGUCUCAAGAGAUGUUACCAGUGGAGUCGCAGGGAUAAGUCGCUUGGAAAAGCGCAUCAGAGAGGGUGAGAAUCCCGUUCUUGCUCUGCAGAACUCCACGUACGGUGCGUUUUCAACGAGUCGCGUUCCUUGGGAUUGGAGCGCUAAAUGGGUGGUAAAUUUCAUCUAAAGCUAAAUAUUUGUGGGAGACCGAUAGCGCACAAGUA